CUCGGCACGCUCCCGCCACAGAAAUCCGCAGCUGGCCCCACAAAGGAGCUGCGUCGCACAGGAAAAUCCACCCAAGCGGGCGCCUUGAACAGUAAAGCCCACUCAGCGGUUCUCCUUAGCUGUAUAUUUGCAUGCUGAUGCACCAUCUACCCAUGCUCAUCACCGCCAGAGCGGACUAUGGGAGCGCGGUGCCUUAGAUCGCUAGCGCGGCCAAACGGCAGAGCGCCGCUGAAAGCACAGCGUCCCCGAGGAACGAGCGGGCCAGGCCCUGGGGAGGCGCUUACCAUCGUUCCUCUGUUCUCCAGCUGAUUUCCACCAAAGCCUUGCUCCCCACCCAGAGCGGGACGUGCCGUCCCGGAAGGUGGCCGUCCGACGACAGGACUUUGGUGUUGGAGCGGCGCCGUGGUUGCCGCCCAAGGGAAGGCAAAGCAGCUUCUUCUCCAACGCUCCUGGCUGGCGGAGAGAAAGGCGCGAGCAUCAGAGAGGUCCAAGACCUACCCUUGCAAGGCAGGUGCCUGCCCACACUACCUUCUUAUCCCAGAUUACCUGAUGGUUUGGAUGAAGUCUACUACUUUGUUGGGAUCGCCUUUUCUAAAAACGUGCAUGAAUUAGUCCUCCUAAUUACCUACCUGGGGACAGUGAGCAGGAACGUGCCAGAGGUCAGCAGUUCAGCAGCAGACCCACAGCGACCUCACAGUCACUUCUUCUUCCUCCCAUCCUCCCCUGAUGUGAUGUCAGAGUUUGGGCUCUGAAGCUUUUAAGUGCAGAGAAACGCUCCAAGGCUCCAGAAGUGUGAGAGAGAGAAGAAAUAAGAGCUGGGCAGAGAGAGAGAAGUUGUGCCUGCAAGUAUGCACACCCUGAGCUUUCUAGGACUUGUUGGUUUCUCAUUUAUCAUAGCCAAGGACAGAUGAAAUUUGCCAUAAUGAUCAUUCACAAGUCACGUGUCAUCACAGAGAAUAUCUGCUGCUUGUGAACAGAGGAGUCUCCCCUGAGAAGGUUAAGGCAGACUGCUAUUUUCCUGGGAGAAAGACAGAAUUACCAUAAUCACAUAACUGCUUUGUGUCGACAGUGUCCUGGAGACACCCAGCACUAUAUAAAUACCAUAAAAAUAUACAGAGCAGAAGAUUAAUGAUGUGAGAAUGUGCGUUAUAUACACAGAUAAAGUAAAGAACCAUAUGACAAGACAGCCUGGUGAAACAGGACGCUAAUUUUGCCAGAAGAUGAAUUGCAGCUACUGGGAAGCAGCGGUUCUGAGUGAUUCAGAGCUGUGGCGUUCAGCUUAGACGACCCCAGCUUCAGUAGAUGAAUGAAGUGGUAUUUAUAUAUUGGGACCUGAAUUUUACUGAAGAUCAGAAGUCUUCUGCUAUUACUCUGCAGAUGAACUGAUGACCAAACAGCACUUUGUGUGUGUGUGUGUGUGUGUGUGCACAUACCCUGGGCAGCAGCUCUCAGAAGUCCCAUGACUUUUACAUUGUUACCUGAGCCCCAGAUACUUGGAAACAGGUAAGGAGAAGAGCUAGGAGAGGAAAUUACAAUAUUUACUGGGAUGACUGAGGUGUUUCCUUCAGUUUCUAAACAUCCCUGUUUGCUCUACUCCUUAACAAAAUGACAAAAAAGAUGGCUGUUCCUCCGUAGAGCUAGCCCUAACCAAAAGCGUCUGUGAGACAAGACAUAUUUUUAUCUGGAAGGAAAGGCUUUUUGAAAAAGAAGUAGCAGUUAGGGGUAGAAAAAUGCCAGAGGUGCUUAGCCCUUCCCAUGGCACUCUCCCUCCAGGGACAGCUGCCACCGCUUCUCCGCAAGCGGAGAAGCUUUCUCCGUGCAAUGGCUCUGCCGGAGGCUUGAUGAAGAGCUUUGUCAAAGGAUGUGACCAAGGUGUCUGAUGAGAAGGAGUCACUGCUCCUGUUCACCGAGAAAUGCCCUAAGGAACUGGGUUCCUCUCUCCGACGUGCUCCGAGACAAGGCUGCAGUCAGCGCUGGGGCCUGAAGGAAACUGGAGACCUGGGGCUGGAUCCCAACCCCGGCCAGAUUUACUGCUGCUUUAUGUGGUGGUUUGCACCUUUGCAACGCAGACAUGAAACCUCAUUGCAUGCAAAUCCUCCUCUCGCAAAGGCAGAUUUGUAUAAUCAUCCCUCCAUACAAGAGUGAAUAACUGCACAGCGCACUGGAGGAAUAAAUCUUCCACUAUGCAGGACCA
rnacentral:lncRNA from 1 species